AUUGAACGCUGGCGGCAGGCCUAACACAUGCAAGUCGAGCGAGCGGCGGACGGGUGAGUAAUAUCUGGGAAACUGCCUGAUGGAGGGGGAUAAAUACUGGAAACGGUAGCUAAUACCGCAUACCAUCAGAUGUGCCAAGAUGGGAUUAGCUAGUAGAUGGGGUAACGGCUCACCUAGGCGACGAUCCCUAGCUGGUCGGAGAGGAUGACAAGCCACACUGGAACUGAGACACGGUCCAGACUCCUACGGGAGGCAGCAGUGGGGAAUAUUGCACAAUGGGCGCAAGCCUGAUGCAGCCAUGCCGCGUGUAUGAAGAAGGCCUUCGGGUUGUAAAGUACUUUCAGCGGGGAGGCGUUACCCGCAGAAGAAGCACCGGCUAACUCCGUGCCAGCAGCCGCGGUAAUUC
rnacentral:rRNA from 1 species